UAUAUUAGCCAUAUCACCCUGCAACUCACAACUGGCAACCCACUGAAGCUAAGCAGAUGUGAGCCUGGUCAGUACCUGGAUGGGAAACCUCCUGGGAAAAACUAAGGUUGCUGCUGGAA
ensembl:rRNA 5S_rRNA 5S ribosomal RNA